rnacentral:rRNA from 1 species
UACGGAGGGAGCUAGCGUUGUUUGGAAUUACUGGGCGUAGAGCGCACGUAGGCGGCGAUUCAAGCCAGAGGUGAAAGCCCGGGGCUCAACCCCGGAACUGCCUUUGAAACUAGAUUGCUAGAAUCCUGGAGAGGCGAGUGGAAUUCCGCGUGUAGAGGUGAAAUUCGUAGAUAUUCGGAAGAACACCAGUGGCGAAGGCGACUCGCUGGACAGGUAUUGACGCUGAGGUGCGAAAGCGUGGGGAGCAAACAGG